CAGACCCUCCCUCCCAGACCCUCCCACCUCCUGGACAGCAUCCAUGUUGAAGCUGCCUUCAACAUGGACGCUGUCCAGGAGGUGGGAGGGUCUGGGAGGGAGGCUCUG